AUUAAUAUUUCUUCUGUCUGUCUCACAGUGCAAAUUGGAGUAGUAAAGGAGCAGAGCUGUUCAAGGCUGACAACAAAGCUGUCAUAAUGUGACCCAUUACAUUGCAAACCAGGAAGAAGAAGAAGACAUGAAUCCAAGUUAUUAUGGCAUAGAAGAAUGAAGUUGAUGAAUCACACAUUUCUCAAAAAUUGAUCAGCACAAACAAAAAUUUUCAAUUGUUGUUACAGACAGAGUCACACAUAUAAACUCUAAAAACAGUAGAAGGAAAAUAAAUAGAAACAUUUCAAACUUGGCAGAUAAGAGAUUCAGGAUAAGCAGCUAUAAGACUGCCAGUCCUUGGCUGUUCCUGAAGAAGGAACUUGACUUGGAGAGAAACAAGCAAAGGUUUUUUUACCUCAAUAAGAGUGAAAUAAUUCAGGCAUAUUUCAAGGCGAAAUCCUAAUGGAGAAAGUCUGGUACACUUUUUUAUGUUUGUUUGUUUGUACUGCAGAAUCCAAUGUUAUUGAAAAUGGAUAAAUAAUGUUCAGUAUUUUUAAUGCACUUUGUGAUGCAGAAUUGAAAUAGUGUAGGGAAAAAAUGUAUACCUGCUACACUGGGAAUAAAUAAUGUUCAUUAUAACAAAAACCCAAAACUGUAGUUUAUCAGCUACUUAAGACAUUUCAACCCAAAUUUUAGCCACCAAAUUCAGACAAAUUGUAGGCAUACUUGAUUAAAUUACUUAAAACUUCCCAUGCAGGAAUUAGGUGUCCCAAAGAUUAUGUCUGCUUAUUUAAAGUCUGCCAUGACAUUUUCAUAUUCUAUUGAAAAAAUCCAGAGAAGUGACCAAAUUUCUAGGUUAUGUGAUUAGCAUAUCUGCAGUUAAACAAUCUAAUAUUUAACUCAGAUUAGUCUGGAUGAAGACCCCAGAAUUAAAAAUUUUCCAGAGUAUAUCUAGACAUACACCUAUAGCCUUGUUUAGAAUGUGGUAAAAAUAUCAGAAAUUAGAGGAUGGUCAGAACUGAGAAAAGAUGGUGUCUUAAUAUACAUUGAAAAGAAAUAAAACUGAGAAA